CAAGACCUGCACUUUUGGAGCGGCCGAUGUCUGAUUAGCUAGUUGGUGGGGUAAUGGUCUACCAAAGCUUCGAUCAGUAGCUGGUCUGAGAGGACGGCCAGCCACACUGGGACUGAGACACGGCCCAGACUCCUACGGGAGGCAGCAGUGGGGAAUUUUGGACAAUGGGCGCAAGCCUAAUCCAGCCAUGCCGCGUGAGUGAAGAAGGCCUUCGGGUUGUAAAGCUCUUUCAGCCGGGAAGAAAAGGUUGCGACUAAUAAUCGCAAUUCAUGACGGUACCGAAAGAAGAAGCACCGGCUAACUACGUGCCAGCAGCCGCGGUAAUACGUAGGGUGCGAGCGUUAAUCGGAAUUACUGGGCGUAAAGGGUGCGCAGGCGGUUUUGUAAGUCAGAUGUGAAAUCCCCGGGCUUAACCUGGGAACU
rnacentral:rRNA from 1 species